AACGAACGCUGGCGGCAGGCUUAACACAUGCAAGUCGAACGCAUCCUUCGGGGUGAGUGGCAGACGGGUGAGUAACGCGCGGGAACGUGCCCUUCAGUCCGGGAUAACCCAGGGAAACUUGGGCUAAUACCGGAUACGUGCGAGAGCAGAAAGAUUUAUCGCUGAAGGAUCGGCCCGCGUCUGAUUAGCUAGUUGGUGGGGUAAUGGCCCACCAAGGCGACGAUCAGUAGCUGGUCUGAGAGGAUGAUCAGCCACAUUGGGACUGAGACACGGCCCAAACUCCUACGGGAGGCAGCAGUGGGGAAUAUUGGACAAUGGGCGCAAGCCUGAUCCAGCCAUGCCGCGUGAGUGAUGAAGGCCUUAGGGUUGUAAAGCUCUUUCGUCCGGGACGAUAAUGACGGUACCGGAAGAAGAAGCCCCGGCUAACUUCGUGCCAGCAGCCGCGGUAA
rnacentral:rRNA from 1 species